UAAUACGAAGGGUGCAAGCGUUACUCGGAAUUACUGGGCGUAAAGCGUGCGUAGGUGGUCGUUUAAGUCUGUUGUGAAAGCCCUGGGCUCAACCUGGGAACUGCAGUGGAAACUGGACGACUAGAGUGUGGUAGAGGGUAGCGGAAUUCCUGGUGUAGCAGUGAAAUGCGUAGAGAUCAGGAGGAACAUCCAUGGCGAAGGCAGCUACCUGGACCAACACUGACACUGAGGCACGAAAGCGUGGGGAGCAAACAGGAUUAGAUACCCUGGUAGUCCACGCCCUAAACGAUGCGAACUGGAUGUUGGGUGCAAUUUGGCACGCAGUAUCGAAGCUAACGCGUUAAGUUCGCCGCCUGGGGAGUACGGUCGCAAGACUGAAACUUAAAUGAAUUGACGG
rnacentral:rRNA from 1 species